AUGGCCAUCUUCGACGAGUUCUACGUUGGGUCCAUCGAUCUCGGGCGCCUUAACUACGGGAUGAUCUCGCUCAUCCCCAAGGUUUCUGGUGCUUCUGACAUCCAUCAGUUCUGCCCAAUCACGGUGAUUAACGUGAUCUUCCGGAUUCUGGCUAAAGGGUACGCCAAUAGGGUGACCCUGCUCGCGGACCAUAUUACCCACCCCAACCAUUCGGCUUUCAUCCAAGGCCGUUAUAUUCUGGAUGGGGUGCUAGUCCUUCACGAAGUCCUCCAUGAGGUCCGCUCCAAACACCUCAAGGCGGUCUUCCUGAAGAUCGAUUUUCAUAAGGCCUAUGACACUGUUAGCUGGCCCUUCCUUCGGGAAGUUCUCCUGCGGAAAGGCUUCGAUGACUGUUGGGUGACGCGGGUUAUGCAGAUGGUCUCGUGUGGUUGCACGGCCGUCAACAUCAAUGGGGAGAUCGGCCCCUACUUCCCCACUUACUGCGGGGUGAGGCAAGGGGACCCAUUCUCCCCGUUCCUGUUUAAUAUGGUGGUCGAUGCUCUUGCGGCCAUCAUGGACAAGGCUAAGGCCGCGGGUCAUAUUCGUGGGAUCACCCCCCACUUGACCGGUGGCAUUGGCAUCUCCCUGCUCCAGUACGCUGACGACACCAACAUCAUGGUUGAAGGCUCGGAUACGGACAUCGCUAGCCUUAAAUUCCUCCUCCUUUGCUUCCAACAAAUGUCUGGUCUUAAGAUCAACUUCGACAAGAGUGAUGUGAUGGUGAUGGGUUAUUCUCCGGCUGAGGCCCUUGACAUUGCCAACCGCCUCAAUUGCCGCCUAGGUUCCCUCCCAACGACCUACCUGGGAACGCCCAUUAGUGACUCGGCUCACUGUGGCGGACCUUCGUCCUGCGGUAACCAAGUUGCAAACGCGCAUUGA
rnacentral:rRNA from 1 species